UACGAAGGGGGCUAGCGUUGCUCGGAAUCACUGGGCGUAAAGCGCACGUAGGCGGACUCUUAAGUCGGUGGUGAAAUCCUGGAGCUCAACUCCAGAACUGCCUUCGAUACUGAGAGUCUCGAGUCCGAGAGAGGUGAGUGGAACUGCGAGUGUAGAGGUGAAAUUCGUAGAUAUUCGCAAGAACACCAGUGGCGAAGGCGGCUCACUGGCUCGGUACUGACGCUGAGGUGCGAGAGCGUGGGGAGCGAACAGG
rnacentral:rRNA from 1 species